AACGGCCGUACCAUGCUGAAUAUACCGGUUCUCGUUAGAUCACCGAAGUCAAGCAUCAUUGGGCGCGGUCAGUACUUGGGUGGGUGACCACCUGGAAACACUGCGUGCCGUU
rnacentral:rRNA from 1 species